CAGGUGACUCCCACCUGAGAUGUCAGUGCCCGAAGCAUCCGACAAUAGUAGAUUCAUCAGCAACCUCAGAACAUCAGAGCCUCUCCUAGAACGAUAUGUAAAGGGCCAUUCUGCUCCAUCAGGCAUCCCAGCCGAGCUUCAGCCGAUGGAUCCAAGCUCUCUGGCAAGCCAUGACAAGGGCCACUACCUUACUCCAUUCGCUGCAAC
rnacentral:lncRNA from 1 species